UCUGGAUGUCGGGUAUCAUUGCUAGAUGGUCAUUUCGAUUAAUAUAAGAAGGAGUUCUUAUACUACCGGCUUAGUAUUCGAACCUAUAGAGUCGCAUACAAAAAUCAAACAAUGUAGAAAAAAAUAGAUUAAAUAUUUAUGUGUUUAAUUUAGAAGUAUGAGACUUGAUUGAAUAUGUAGAUUAACUUAACUAAAAAUUAAGUUUAGAUCGUUUGGAAUUAAACACUGAUUAUGUCC
rnacentral:lncRNA from 1 species